rnacentral:rRNA from 1 species
CCUACGGGAGGCAGCAGUGGGGAAUAUUGCACAAUGGGCGCAAGCCUGAUGCAGCGACGCCGCGUGAGGGAUGAAGGCCUUCGGGUUGUAAACCUCUUUCAGUAGGGAAGAAGCCGGCCCUUGGGUUGGUGACGGUACCUGCAGAAGAAGCGCCGGCUAACUACGUGCCAGCAGCCGCGGUAAUACGUAGGGCGCAAGCGUUAUCCGGAAUUAUUGGGCGUAAAGAGCUCGUAGGCGGUUUGUCGCGUCUGCCGUGAAAGUCCGGGGCUUAACCCCGGAUCUGCGGUGGGUACGGGCAGACUAGAGUGCAGUAGGGGAGACUGGAAUUCCUGGUGUAGCGGUGAAAUGCGCAGAUAUCAGGAGGAACACCGAUGGCGAAGGCAGGUCUCUGGGCUGUAACUGACGCUGAGGAGCGAAAGCAUGGGGAGCGAACAGGAUUAGAUACCCUGGUAGUCCAUGCCGUAAACGUUGGGCACUAGGUGUGGGGGACAUUCCACGUUUUCCGCGCCGUAGCUAACGCAUUAAGUGCCCGCCUGGGGAGUACGGCCGCAGGCUAAAACGUCAAAUGAAUUGACGG